rnacentral:rRNA from 1 species
UACGGAGGGUGCAAGCGUUAUCCGGAUUCACUGGGUUUAAAGGGUGCGUAGGCGGGUAAGUAAGUCCGUGGUGAAAUCUCUGAGCUUAACUCAGAAACUGCCGUGGAUACUAUUUGCCUUGAAUAUUGUGGAGGUGAGCGGAAUAUGUCAUGUAGCGGUGAAAUGCUUAGAUAUGACAUAGAACACCAAUUGCGAAGGCAGCUCACUACACAAUCAUUGACGCUGAGGCACGACAGCGUGGGGAUCAAACAGG